CUUACAGCUGCAGGUCGUUUUUAUAAAGUAGUCCUACAGUUGCAGGUCGUUUUUAUAAAGUAGUCCUACAGUCGUAUUACAGGAGGAGUUGGUUUUUACAAUAAGUAACAUUUUAAUUGUGUGGGGGUACGUAUUGUUGAGUUGUUCAAAAAUGAUUGUUGUUGAGUUGUUCAAAAAUUAUUGUUUUACUUGUGUAAGGGCAUCUGUUGUGCAAAAAUUAACAAUUUACUUGUGUGAGGGUAUGUGUUGUGUAAAAAAUUCGCAUUUUAAACCAAUAUUUGUUAUAUAGAUUAACGUAAAAAAAUGACAUUUAACUUUGACAAAUGCCACGGCAUUACUUUAAAAAUUGAAAAAGAAGAUGAAGAUCGGUUUAACAAAAAAAAGGUCAGGCCAUUUCAGGCUGUCACGACUCAAGCUGGGUCGUCUCACUCGAGUGGGUUCUCGCCAAGAAUCAAGGGGAAGAUUCAUCCCCCAAAAAAUUUGUAUUUUAAAAAGAAAGAAAAUCAUACCAGCAAAUACUUACAUUUCUUUAUCAUAGUUUAUGGCAGCAAGACAGAAUGCGAGGUAAGUUUAAUAUCAAUUGUAUAUGUGAUUCUUUAUUCUGCAUCGCUAAGAUUUACAUUUGAACAACACAGAAAGAAAAGAGGUGGUACAGAGGGAGAGAGCGGUGGAGGUACAGAGUGUUGGAGGUAGCGGUGGAGAGGGAGGGAGUGGUGGAGGUACAGAGGGAGAAAGUGUUGGAGGUAGCGGUGGAGAGGGAGGGAGUGGUGGAGGGAGUGGUGGAGGUAGAGAGGAAGAAAGCGGAAAGGCGAAAGUCAAUUUAAAAAAAUAUAACAAUUUAACAAAU